GUGGGACAGGGGAAUCUCAACCCUCGGGGAAGAUUCUUAAGUUGCCAAACACGAGGCAAUAAAAAAAAUCAUAAUAGUUUGAAUUACCUACCUUUGUAUCAUUUCUCUCCGCUAGGAUCCGAUCAUAAAUAUUGUAUUUUCGAAAGCAAGCGUAGAGAAGAAAACAAACUAUGAUAGAUAAUCCAAUCUACACAUAACCUAGGGUAUGAUCAGGUCGAGAUAUAAUUCCACUACAAGUGUCUGAAGAAGUUUUUGAGUGGUAUUAAUGAAAUUGAAAAAGAAAAAAAUCAAAUAUUUCGAUUCAUGUAUUAGAGAAAAUAUCCCUCUUAUUAACAACAUUGACUACUGACUAAAGAACGAAAAGACAUUUAAAAACAAAAUCCCUGGUUGCAAAACUGAAGCUUCCUAGUCAGGUCCGAGGUCAAGUGAUGGAGUAACAUUCGUGGAGUUCUGAGUCAUUCAUCGUCAUGCUAAAUUAAUUCAAUUUUAUUUUAUCAUUGACAGCAAGCUCUGCUAUCCAAAUCUCCACUACAGAUGUGUACGGUUACAUCCGUCUGACCCAAUAUGGAUAUGUUUACCAGCCGGUGCCGGACUGCCUCGCACACUUUACGUUCCAGGUGAAAGCUUGUCAUGAUGUACAUGUGGGACUUUUCAACACUGCUGGAGAACCUUACACAUACGAAAUUGUUAUAGGUGGUUGGACAAAUUCCAGGUCGAGAAUUAUUAGCUCGGUCAACCUCUUCCAAAGUUAAUAAUUUCGAGAGCAAUAUGGUGGAUUGUAACGUCCACAAAAGUUUCUGGAUAUCUUGGCGGAACAAUGUGAUAUCAGCGGGGCGUGGCAACUCCUUCAAUAAUGACAUGAUAUUGUCAUUUACUGAUGAACAUCCAAACCAAAUACGAUCUGUUGGAAUCACGACAGGAUUCGGUGCCUCGGGUGAAUGGAAAAUACCAAGUGAACGUCCAUCAUUGCAGUGCUAUCAAAAUGUCCAAUGGUCUGUGUCACCAGGACAUCAGAACACAAACAUGACAGUCAACAUCACGUGGUCUGUGACAGCUGAUAACCUCGGACAGUGCGCUGUGGCCUGUAAACGGAGUAGUUCAUGUGUGUCAUUUGUGUAUGAUAACGAUAGAAAUGUAUGCCAAGGUCACGGACUGCAGUUCCAUAAUAUCAUCGAAGGUCAAGGUCACACACAUAAGGGAAGCCACUAUUUCAGCAUGUCGUAGAUUUUGAACAGCUUUGUUGUUUAAGUUGACAACGAAGACGUACUGCAACAGUAUAUUGGCCGUGUUUUCAAUGAAUGCUAAUAUGAUGUUUCGACGAGGUUCCAUAGAAUACCCUCUUCAUAUCCUUUUGUUUGUGUGUAGGAAAAUGUCAAUUAACAUAAACCUUAUGUUUUACAUUCUUUACAAUAUGUGUUUAAUAGAAGUUAGGAUUUGCCAGUACAAUUAUAGAUUUUUGUCCGCUUGAAGAAAAUUUUGUUUUGAAAAAUAUAUCUCGGUGUUCUUAUCCUGGCUACAAGUUGAUCAAAAAGAAAUCAGUAUAUAUCUUUGAUAUUGAUUUUAUAUAACAUUGUACGACUCAAGUAUUUUCUGUGAGAAACAUGAUUACAGGUGUUUUUCAUGCUACAGCUAGAUUUGGGAUGUUAACCGAGCAAUAAUUGAAUGAAAAUAUUUAACGUUUUUUUUUUAUUUUUUAUUUAAUGUUUUUUUUUUUGUAUAUUUGCUAUACGCAUUCAAUAAGUUUAAUUUCUGUUGUAAUAUCUGUAUUGUAAUAUUUGCAUUCUUUGUUUCAACAUUGAUGCUAUAUUUGUAUUAUUUGUUUUGAGUGUUAUUUUCCUUUCAUAUUCUGUUUUUCAGCAUGAAUUUUACAUUUGUAUUGUAAAACGUUGCGUUCAAUGUUUAACUUACCUUUUCGAAUGACAAUUAAGCUUGUACCCUUGUGCGGCGUCAUUAAUUGGGCAUUUAGCUUGGAAGAAGGACGAUCGGGUUUAUUCAAAUGAAUAGCCUUGACCCACUUCAAAGGCCACAGUGGUCAAACUUUAACAUUUUUUGUCUAAAUAACCAAGUAUCCCAAAAACCUUUAUAUUUGAUCUGUAUGUUUUUAACAUGGAGUUAACGUGAUUGGUUUAUAGUCGAUCAACAUGAUUAAUCCUCGAUAUUAUCUCUUACUCAAUGUUGUCACAUAUUAUGCUAAUUCUUAGACAGCCUCGUUUCCGGCCGCUACGCGACGAGUGAGUGUUGAAGCACCACUAGAUAAAGCUAUCAAUAAUAUAUGUAAAGCGUUCGAGAAAAUAAAUUAAAUAUGUAUAUGUAUAAACAGUCAUAUUGUAUAUCAUGUUUUCCCAUCGAUCACACACAUAUUGAUUACAAAUAGUAAUGACUUAUUUUCGACUUGAAACGAUAUGGCAUUCCCAUGCGACUGAAUACAUCAAUACAGAUUAUUUUUCUUGGAUAUUGCUAAUCACCAAAUUAUCUCCAAAUGAAAUUAGUUUAAAAGAGUUGUAUUUUUCCAUAGAUUGCUUCAUCCUUAAAUUCUUUUGUGGUUUGAAUCAUUGGCGUAAACCUUAAAUGAUUGAAUUAUAUGCUAACAAAAUAUAUCGGUUUAUCGUGAAAAAUCUCAAAUUAUCCCCCUUGUCACUUUGCUUAUUGGAGUUGGAUUUAGCUCCCCUUGUCCGUUUCAAACACAUGUUAAAGAUCAAGCUCACUAGAGGAGAAUAUUAUGGUGUACAUGUAUUUUAUUUGCAAAAUAUUUUUUAAAGACCAUUGUAUCCUUCUCAACCAUAAACAAUUAAACUUGAAUCAUAUAUUUA